rnacentral:lncRNA from 1 species
CCUAGCUGGGGUGGCCCUUGGGAGGACACCAGAGAGGCUCCUGAGGGGUGGUGGGGAAGGUCCUUGCCGCCUUGGGGCCUUUCAUCUGUUCCCUCCUCAGAAGUUGAAUGAGUGAAUGAAUGAGUGAGUGAGUGAGUGAGUGAGUGAGUGGGGACAGGCUUCAACACAAGCACUCCAUCUGCUUCCGGGGGAGAGGAAAGGUGGAGGACUUCAUGUACCAAGAUGGCUGCUACUCCAGGGUAGCACCCAGAGCUCCUAAAUCCUGACUCCAUCUGUUGCAGGCUGGGUGACCUUGGUGGGUGGCACUGUGGCACCAGAAGUGUCUCCCAGGCAGGUCCCCAGGCCUUCCAGCGGUGACCUGCUGGCCCCCUGCUGUCUCCUGCUGCUAUAACCUGCUGCUGUUUGGACCUUUACCUACAAGUGGCAGAUUUCGUGGAGGCCUGGCUCUGGACCCGCUGCAUCUGUAACACGGUGGAGAGAGCACAGGCUGCUGCUGUGCUCCUGGGUGCAGUGAGGUCCUCCUGCCAGGCUGGGCUGGAAGAGGAGUGAGGCCGAUGAGCUACACCAGUGAGGAGCUCUGGGAUGCCGCAGGGAUCUGGGCACACACGGGUCCUCUGCUGUGUGAAGAGCAGAUAGGAACAACCUGUCACAUGUAAUGCUUGCUUCUCCAGGACCUUGCUGUACCAGCCCCAGGGGGCCAAGGGGUGAGGGGGCCAUGGGGCCGUGGGGUCAGGGGGCCAGGAGCCCAGGGCAGCAGGAGGCUGGGCCUACAGCCUAGACAGAGGCUCCUUCCUUUCCUAUCUGUCCCUGACAGGCGGCCUGGCCCCCUGUGCAGCUGUAGAGGACACUCCUCCUGACACUGCUGAGAUCCCCAGGUCAGAGUGAGGAUGGAGCUGGGACUUGCCACAGAGUUACCUGCACCUUCAAGAGGCAGGGGGCUUGUUUCCUUUCAGUGUUUUUAUCCCUAGAAUUCACCCCUAGCAGUAGUGUCUUCACCUUCCAUGAGGUCUUUCCCUCCUGUCUUUCCAUCUUCCAUCCCUCCCCUUAUCCACCAACUCCCUCAUCUCUCAUAGGGUCUCAAGCAGCUCAGGGUGGCCUCAGGCUCUCUAUGAUCUUGAACUUCUGACCCUAUGACCUUGAACUUCUGACCCUCCGGUCUCUCCCUCUUAGUGCUGGAAUCACAGGUACCUGCCACAAUGCCCAGACAAUGAUUCUUGGCUGCUUUUUAAAGUUUUUUUUUUUAACUUAGCAUGUAUGAAUUUACAUAAUGGAUUUCACUAUGGCAUUUUUAUAAAUGUAUGGAAUAUAUUUUGAUCAUAUCACCCCAUCAUCCUCUUUUGUCCUUCUCUGAGCCUUUCCUCUUCCCAACUAGUCUCCGACUUUUAUGUGUUUGCAUAUGUGCAAUGGGUUAACCUAGAGUUGCUUAUAGUCAUGUUCCUAAAAAGAAGGCCUGGUGGGGUACUUCAGUGGCAGAGUGAUUAC